AGAGUUUGAUCCUGGCUCAGGAUAAACGUUGGCGGCGUGCUUGAGAUAUGCAAGUCGAAUGUCUUGUCUGGCGCAAGCUGGACAGGUAAUGGCGGACGGCUGAGUAACACGUAGGUACCUUCCCCUUUCUGGAGCAUAGCCCCGCGAAAGCGGGGAUAAUACUCCAUAGUAUCCCGAUUUUAUCGGGAUUAAAGAGAUUAACUUCUUGGUAAGGGAUGGGCCUGCGGCCUAUCAGGUAGUUGGUGAGGUAACUGCUCACCAAGCCUAUGACGGGUAGCUGACUUGGGAGAGUGGUCAGCCAGAGGGGAACUGCGACACGGUCCCCACUCCUACGGGAGGCAGCAAUCAGGAAUAGUCGGCAAUGGACGAAAGUCUGACCGCGCGACGCCGCGUGUAGGAUGAAGCUCUUCGGAGCGUAAACUACUGUAGUAGAGGAAGAAGAUCUGACGUAAGUCAGGUUUGACGGUACUUUAUUAGAAAGGGGCCGCUAACUGCGUGCCAGAAGCGUCGGUAAUACGUGGGCCCCAAACGUUAUCCGGUUUUAUUGGGCGUAAAGGGUCGUGUAGGCGGACCGAUUAGUCUCUGUUUAAAUACUACGGCUUAACUGUAGGAAAGGCAGGGAAACUAUCGGACUAGAGUUAUCUUUAGGGAGAUUGGAACUUAGGGAGGAGUAGUGAAAUGCGUUGAUACCCUAGGGAACACCAGUGGCGAAGGCGAAUCUCUGGAAGAUGACUGACGCUGAGACACGAAAGCUAGGGGAGCGAAGCAGAUUAGAGACCUGCGUAGUCCUAGCCUUAAACGAAUGUUUGCUAGCUGCAUUUCUCUACCUUCGGGUAGAGUAGGUGUGGCGAAAGGUAACCCGUUAAGCAAACCGCCUGGGGAGUACGGCCGCAAGGUUGAAACUCAAAGGAAUUGGCGGGGAGGCACACAACCAGUGGAACAUGUGGUUCAAUUCGAAACGAACCGAAGAACCUCACCAGGGUUUGACAUCCUAGUGUUCUAUUUCCCAGAAAUGGGAGAAAUCCGCAAGGAGACUAGGACAGGUGCUGCAUGGCUGUCGUCAGCUCGUUCCGUGAGGAGUGCCCUUAAGUGGGACAACGA
rnacentral:rRNA from 1 species